AGUUGAAUGUGUCACCAUUCAAUUAAAGUAGUACCCCAGUCAUCCUUAUGAAUUUUAUAAAAAGGCCUACAUCUUCUACUCCAUUUGAAAACAAUUGUUUUGGGAGGAUUCUCGUUUUAAUACUCUUAAGCUAAACAAUUUGUUUCCUUGUUUUCUACCAUGUACCAAACACGAAAGUGAAAGAAUUGAUGGAUGGGUACAGCAUUUUUGGCUUCUCAAAGGUAAACUUAAUUAAUCAAGUAGUUGUGGAAUUUUGUGGAAAAAAAAACUAGAACUUUGUUGAAUUCUAAUCAAGUGGAAAAGAGUUCACAAGUAACUACACUAGGGAAAUCUUAGAAGCUUUGAAGCUAAGAACAAAAGGGGUUCAAUCCGAAGAAGUCAAACAUAUCACACGACAAUCAGAAGCAACCAAUGAUAUUUAUGCCUACGGGAGUGCAUGAUUCUAUUCAUUUGAUUGUAAUGGGGAAAUUCAAUCGGAUUCUGAAUGAAGAGAACAACCAAUGAUAUUUAUGCCUAGGGGUAAAUUGUUAGACACUCAAGUCAAUUAAUUAUACUUAUCAAGGGGCGUGAUCAAGGGACUUUCUUGCUUAAGUUUUCUAUUUAUCACUGAAUAGGAAUGAUUAGUGAUGCAUGUUAGGUUGGUCCAAUGAAAUCUAAGUCAAAACAAUUUUCAUAAAGCUUUCUUCCUUUAAAUUCAUUACUUUUAUGCAA